ACUCAAGGUGUUUGACGAGUUGC
rnacentral:siRNA from 1 species